AUGAAGAUGGAAAAUAAGGUGGGGGCAAUAACACAUCCCUGCUUGACACCUGAUUCCACCUUAAAUGGGUCACUUUGGGAGCCGUUGCUGUCCAAGACUGUUGCCAUCAUGUCAUCAUGGAGGAGCCGCAGGAUGUUCACAAAUUUGUCAGGGCACCCGAUUUUUUUGGAGGAUGGUCCAGAGAGCGCUGCGAUUCAUUGUGUCGAAUUAUUAUUAUUAUUAUUUUUAUUAUUGCACUUAUUUUCUUUAAAUAGCAUUUCCCAAAAUUUUGUAUAAUUUUACAUGACCACCACAUAUGAAGAUAUGACCCUAUUUCCUGACAGCCCCUCCAACACUGAUUCAUGUAUUUUUUUUAUCAAUCUGAUUUAAUCUAAUGGGAGUUAGGUACCACCUCCAUACCAUUUUGUAAUAAUUUUCCUUAAUUCUUAUGGACAUAUUUUUUAAUAAUCUCAUACUCCAUAUCCUUGCUCAUUCAUUUUCCCCCAAAUCUACUUCCCAUACUUCCUUCAAAUGAACUUGCUUCUUUGAUUUAUGAUUAUAUUCAUUGAGUCUCACCAUUUAUAAUGAGGUCUCAUCUUCCUCUUUUCCUUCUUCAAGUAUUUUGGUCUUCUCUAGUGAAUCAUGCUUUCUCGAGACAUAUAGAUGAAGUAAGUCAAUCUCAGUUUAGCCAUCUUGGCUUCUACAGAGAGUUCAGUCCACAGUAUCUGCAGCAGCACAUUUCAAAGAGGUUUUUUCUUCCUACCAACAGCCUUCUCAACCAUACAUGGAAAUUAGAAAUAUAACCUGGAUCAUCCUAACUUUAGUAUUCAGAGAUAUAUCUUUAAAUUUUGUGCUUAGAAGCUACAAAAGAUUGAAUCUCAGGAAGCCAAAGAGUGAGAUACCUCACUUACAAGAACAGUUGGCAAGCUAGGAUUACGCUACCUAUGGGGAAGCAUCUGCUGAACAUUUUGUUUAUUUCUUUAUGAUUAAUUUUGCUGACAAUUAUAGACUUUGCCUUGCUCCAAAGACUAGUGAAUAGCAAAAAAAAAAAAAAAACCUAAGGGGUGUCUCAAUCUUGUAGAAGAACAACAAUAUUUGUUCUAGGGAAAACGAGAAGUUAGAAAUGAAUUAAAACUCUCUUUUUUUCAUGUUUUAUUAGCCUAGCCCCAUAUUGUACCUCAACUAUGAGCCAGUCAAAGUAGCUACAAAAAAUCAGAAUUGCUUACUUGAUGCAAAUGUGUGUGAGUCAGAAAAUAGGAAUCUGUAGCAUGCUAUUUCAUGUUGAAGACAUGCUUGUUAAUAGAAUUAUCAAAUGACAUGGGCUGCAAAGUGUGAACAAUAGGUGGCCAGGCUGCUUUCUUCCUGGCCUACUAGAU
rnacentral:lncRNA from 1 species